rnacentral:rRNA from 1 species
AUUAAACGCUGGCGGCAUACCUUACACAUGCAAGUCGAACGGCAGCACGGGGGCAACCCUGGUGGCGAGUGGCGAACGGGUGAGUAAAGCAUCGGAACGUGCCCUGGAGUGGGGGAUAACGUAGCGAAAGUUACGCUAAUACCGCAUAUUCUGUGAGCAGGAAAGCAGGGGAUCGCAAGACCUUGCGCUCUGGGAGCGGCCGAUGUCGGAUUAGCUAGUUGGUGGGGUAAAGGCCUACCAAGGCGACGAUCCGUAGCGGGUCUGAGAGGAUGAUCCGCCACACUGGGACUGAGACACGGCCCAGACUCCUACGGGAGGCAGCAGUGGGGAAUUUUUGGACAAUGGGCGAAAGCCUGAUCCAACCAUGCCGCGUGAGUGAAGAAGGCCUC